rnacentral:rRNA from 1 species
AUUGAACGCUAGCGGGAUGCCUUACACAUGCAAGUCGAACGGAGUGGCGAACGGGUGAGUAAUGUAUCGGAACGUGCCCAUUAGCGGGGGAUAACUACGCGAAAGCGUAGAUAAUACCGCAUAAUUUUGGGGCGGCCUAUAUCGGCUUAGCUGGUUGGGGGGGUAACGGCUCACCAAGUCGACGAUCCGUAGCCGGUUUGAGAGGACGACCAGCCACACUGGGACUGAGACACGGCCCAGACUCCUACGGGAGGCAGCAGUGGGGAAUGUUGGACAAUGGGGGAAAGCCUGAGCGAGCCAUGCCGCGUGUGUGAUGAAGGCCUUCGGGUUGUAAAGCACUUUUGGCAGGAAAGCGGUACCUGCAGAAUAAGCACCGGCUAACUACGUGCCAGCAGCCGCGGUAAUUC